GAUGAACGCUGGCGGCGUGCCUAACACAUGCAAGUCGUACGAGCUCGAUCUUCGGAACGGGUUAGUGGCGCACGGGUGAGUAACACGUAGGUGACCUACCCCCAGAGUGGGGGAUAACUUCUCGAAAGAGAGGCUAAUACCGCAUACACUCGGUCAUUCAUUUGGCCGAGCAAAGCUCCGGCGCUUUGGGACGGGCCUGCGUCCGAUUAGCUAGUUGGUAGGGUAAUGGCUUACCAAGGCUUUGAUCGGUAGCUGGUCUGAGAGGACGAUCAGCCACACUGGCACUGACACACGGGCCAGACUCCUACGGGAGGCAGCAGUGAGGAAUAUUGGGCAAUGGGCGAAAGCCUGACCCAGCAACGCCGCGUGAGGGAUGAAGGCCUUCGGUGUAAACCUCUUUCUGGGAGAAGAGACAAGGACGGUAUCCCAGGAA
rnacentral:rRNA from 1 species